UACGGAGGGUGCAAGCGUUGCUCGGAAUUAUUGGGCGUAAAGGGUAGGUAGGUGGUCUCAUUUGUCUGGGGUGAAAGCCUUGAGCUUAACUCAAGAAGUGCCUCAGAAACGGUGAGACUGGAGUCCUGGAGAGGGUCGUGGAAUUCCCGGUGUAGCAGUGAAAUGCGUAGAGAUGUGGAGGAACACCGAUGGCGAAGGCAGCCCCCUGGGCUAACACUGACGCUCAUGCACGAAAGCGUGGGGAGCAAACAGG
rnacentral:rRNA from 1 species